ACCAAAAUCUGUCAUCCUACGGAGUUUGAUUUCUAUCUCUGUAGUCAUGCUGGGAUCCAGGGAACUACUAGAUCGGCUCAUUACCAUGUCAUAGAUGAAAACAAUUUCACAGCAGAUGAAAUGCAAACUUUGACAAUCUCUACUACAUAUAUGCUCGAUGCACUCGAUCAGUAUCCAUCGUGUUGUUCAUCAACCUCUUAUAUACUCACAAAAAUUUCAUACCAAUUCGUUGACAUUUUUGAUCCUGAUAAAAUAUGUCCAGUGCCACCCGCAUCCUAUGCUCAUCUUGCUGUAUUUCGAGCACGGUUUUAUAUGAAACCUGCAUUCUCUGAUAAGCACACAACACGUAACAUAAGAAUGCGGAAUGGUUCUGCUGUGAAACCUCUGCCA